UUAGGAAUUUUGGGCAAUGGGCGAAAGCCUGACCCAGCAACGCCGCGUGGGGGAUGACGGCCUUCGGGUUGUAAACCCCUUUUCCAUGGGACGAUGAUGACGGUACCGUGGGAAGAAGCCCCGGCUAACUACGUGCCAGCAGCCGCGGUAAUACGUAGGGGGCGAGCGUUGUCCGGAUUUAUUGGGCGUAAAGCGCGCGCAGGCGGCCCGGUCCGUCAUCCGUGAAAUCCCCCGGCUCAACCGGGGGGGGACGGGUGAGACCGCCGGGCUGGAGGGCGGAAGGGGGAAGCGGAAUUCCCGGUGUAGUGGUGGAAUGCGUAGAUAUCGGGAGGAACACCAGUGGCGAAGGCGGCUUCCUGGUCCGCGACUGACGCUGAGGCGCGAAAGCGUGGGGAGCGAUCCG
rnacentral:rRNA from 1 species